UCACAAACAGACAAGAUGGAGACGGUAAACAUCUCGACAAAAAGAUUGACACCCAGAUUUUCAAAUUUUGGACUUUGCUACUCGUUUAACGCACUGCCACAUGGUCAGUUUUUCAAAGACGAGAGCUCCUUAGUUUUCGAAGACAGAGAAGAUGCAACAAAGCACUAUUGGGGUUUGGAUAGUGGAUACACCAAUUCGUGGUUUGACGAAAUGCCUGUACCAAAGCGAGCCUUGGGAUCAGGCUACAGGUACUCGUAUGGAAUACUGCUAAAGAGAAAGAAAAAUCUCGCUUUUCCCAACUGCGCUCAUCCAAAUGCCGGAUUCAAGAUAGCUGUGGAAAAUCCGGCAGACGCCUUUUCAAAGGAGGACGACUUCAUGCGGGUUUCGAUGGGGCGGGGAACAAAUUUCUUGAUCACUCCAAAGCUCGUCACCACCGACAAUGCAGUGCGGAGCAGUAUGGAUCCAAUGGUUCGAGAAUGCUAUUUUCAGGACGAGAUAUCGCUUUGCCACUACAAACAUUACACUCGAAAAAACUGCCAGUCGGAGUGUUUAUCGAAUCUUACUAUGACGGCUUGCAAUUGCGUCGAGUUUUACAUGCCGCGGACGAACGAUACUGAUAUUUGCUUAGGAUCAGUAGAUAGGCUCUGCGCUAAAGACGUUGCCAGUAAAAUUUGAAUUUAUUGUUUUAGUUGUUAAUCAUCUGGAAAUUUGAUUAAUUCAGGGAAAUUUGACGAGGACGUAGUAAAAAAGGCUUUGGAUGGCGAAAACGUAAAUGGAAAGUGGGGUCCGUGUGGUUGUUUGCCGUCUUGCACUCAUUUGGCAUACACUUAUGAUGUGUUCAAUACCGACCUCAUGUCCGCUGAGUAAGCUUUAUUUAAUCGUUUAUAUGGAUAUUGGUUAAAAUAUCUCUUCCAGCGAAAAUGCUGCAUUUCUAACGUUUUAUUUUAAGGAAAAUAGCUUUUUUCCUUUGACGAGAAUCCAGCAAUUUGACUUUCUAACAUUUAUCAGUACUUGUGGAGGACUUCUCGGACUCUUUCUUGGAUUUAGUCUUCUGAGUUUAGUUGAAAUUAUAUUCUACUUGAUUUUCA